rnacentral:lncRNA from 1 species
UUCUAGUCCCAUAACCUCCCAGUUUAUCGUUCGUUUCGGCCACCCAACCUGGAGACAGCAGUUGUGAAAUCUUCCCAGGCAUGUAGCUUGGCAGGUCGCCAUCAGGACUACUAGGACAGACCUGACCAAAAGUCUCACUCACUGAGCUCUCCGACCACCCUGGGGUGUCCACACACGGUUCCUCCCAUGAGAGCAGCAACUUGUUCAGAGAGCUCUUCAUAUCACCUUGGAAAAAGAUGAAAAAUGCAGUGGAAAAAUGAACAAGGGAUCUGAGUGUCAAUCAUAAACACUCAAACCUGUUCAACUUCACUUAGAAUUAGAGACUUGGAAAUCGCUGUCCAUGAAGAACCCAUCUUAAAUGGCAAGGAUCACAAGUUUGGCCACAUGCCUUACAAAAUGUUUCUAUGUAUCUGAGACAGAUGGAUGGGCUUCAAUCUAGAUCUCAGCAUCCUGCCUCAGCAUCCUAGGGUUCAAAGAUAAUUGUGCACCACCACGCCCUGUUUCUGUCACAACUCUGAAAGAAGUUCUGCAAAACACAAAUGUGUGUCCCACCUCAGCUCCAAGCAACACCUGAGGCCUGGAUGGUGACACCCAUAUCAACAACCAAAGACCUGCCACUGCCAACCCAGAUGCUCUGAGAGACCUUUGUCUGGAAGCCAUCCUCACUAGCGAUUGUAUUAGCUCAGAUUUGGAUCCCAUCAUUAAACUUUACUCUUUGACUUCAUAAAGAUUCUCUUCCCUAUCCGCCUGACUUGUUACAAAAGUCAAUAAUCUCUACUACAGGUCUCAAAAGGAGGAUUAAUAGUUACUUGAUGAAGCAAGAAAGCAAAUAUGGUUGGCCAUAUGUUGCCAAGAAAAGGAAGAAUGUGUCUUGUUUUCGAAGAAGAAGGAGGAGGAGGAGGAGGAGGAGAAAGAAGAAGGNNNNNNNNN